rnacentral:tRNA from 1 species
UGCAGGGUAGAGAAGUGGUUAUCUCGUCAGCCUCAUAAGCUGAAAAUCGUGGGUUCGAAUCCCACCCGUGCAA